rnacentral:tRNA from 1 species
GGGGCCUUAGCUCAGCUGGGAGAGCGCCUGCUUUGCACGCAGGAGGUCAAGGGUUCGAUCCCCCUAGGCUCCA